rnacentral:lncRNA from 1 species
AUGUCCCCCGAGAAAUUUGGCCAUGCCUUGACAAAGAAUCAAAUUUAGCAUAACUGGAGAAGCAGCAUAUAUAUGGUAGCAAAUUUUCUUUAAAUUGAACAUGAUGGAGGUUCAAUUUUCCCAUUCUUUAAUAAGUUAUAUUUUUCAGAUUUCACACUACUAGACCUUCCCCAUGUCUAGGUUUAAACUGCAACUACCAAAAACCGCUUGGAGUGAGUGAUUAGAAACUACUAAGAUAUUUGGGGGAUAUAAAUUAAAUGUCCCUUGUGUCUGUAAGACAAGAUUGGAGAUGCUGGUUGCUUAACUAGAAAAAAUAAGUUCCAUGCCGGACCUGUCUGAAGCAGUGAUGCACUAGCAAUUAGCAAGGAAAACUGUCUGCCAGUGUCAUCCAUUUGAACAGUGGAUGAGACUUACCUAAAAUAGUUUAUAGCAAGGAAGAGAGGGAAGAGUGGAUGUGGCCCAAACUGAUCUCAUUCAAAUUCCCCAAAAGGACAUCUCAUUCAAAUUCACCAAAAGGACAAAUAAUGUAGAGGAUAUUCAAUGAGGGUUGCGGUUCAAAACAACUUGGUCAUGGUGAAAACUGACUUGGAAAUCCUAUUGGAGUCCAGUGGAACCAAAUUCUAGUAAAAAGAAUCACAAAAAAGCAGAAGAACAGCAUGACAUGGGUUUUGUCAGCAGUGGAACACUAAGGUGUAUAUUUCUUCUAUCACGAGGACUGGGUGACUUGUUCUACGAGUUUUAGGAUUCACAAUUUCUAAACUUUUUUGUAACUCCGAGAGGUGACUUUGUUUCCUAAGGUC